rnacentral:rRNA from 16 species
AAUCAGUUAUAGUUUGUUUGAUGGUAUGUGCUACUCGAAUAACCAUAGUAAUUCUAGAGCUAAUACGUGCGACAAACCCCGACUUUUGGGAGGGGCGCAUUUGUUAGAUAAAAGGCUGACGUGGGCUCUGCUCGCUUAUCCGAUGAUUCAUGAUAACUCGACGGAUCGCAUGGCCUUUGUGGCGGCGAUGCAACAUUCAAAUUUCUGACCUAUCAACUUUCGAUGGUAGGAUAGGGGCCUACCUUGGUGGUGACGGGUGACGGAGAAUUAGGGUUAGAUUCCG